rnacentral:lncRNA from 1 species
UGUAUAUACACAGAUGUGUAGUACACAAUAGCCUAUGACGACAGUUUUUUGGGCUAUAGUGACGGUUCACUCGUCGCCAUAGAGUAUAAUAGCUAUUGUGAUGCCCCCAAAAUAGGUCCAUUCCAUCCAACCCAUUCUGAGUCGCCAAAUACAUUGUACAGAAAUAACUACAACUUUAUUAUUACAACAUAUAAACUGUGAGUUUAAAUACAGAUAUUGUCAUCUAGACAAUAUCCACACGCAAAUAAAUUCCCAUCAUAAUUAUUGAUAUAUUAUUUUAUAAAAAUGGUGAGGACUACUAAACAACUCUCUCUAGAAUCUUCAUUCCAUACCCCGACUAGUACUCGCUACAUUCUCGCCUCCUGAGAAGAAAAAUGGAACAAAAAGGAAAAGGGUGACCUCAACUAGCCCAGUAAAGAAUAUUAUGACUAAGAUAAUAUACAACAAAUUAUCGUUAGUCUUCAACAGGAAAAAAAUCUAAUAGAAUACAAUAGACAACAAGUUUUAGAUCAACAACUGCAGUAGAAACAACAAUUCAUUAGAAGAGUUAAGUAGAGAAUGCAAACUACUAUCUUCUAUAUAUGAAUUUAAAAGUUCAUCGUCGAUAUUUUAUCCCU